GCGAGAAGAUUUCAUGCUGUGACUCUCUAGAGGGAAGCGCUUUCUGUUGUCUGAAAGAAAACAAAGCGCUUCUCUUUAGAGAGUUACGGUUUGAGAAAAGC
rnacentral:pre_miRNA from 1 species